rnacentral:lncRNA from 1 species
UUUUCGUCCAAUUAUCAGAGAUUUUUUGAGACGCUGCUGCAUCGAUGUUCCUGGAACGAUGUGCUCGCGUGUGACAUCCUAGCUUCUUUCUAAGAUACGAGUUUCAUUAGCUAGUUACGUAUAAUUUCACUUGCUGAUUGCUAGAAUCAUCUCGAAUUUAACAAAGCAGCUGUUACGUUUCGCUAUUUGAUGAGAUAAUUUAUACUGAACAAGCUACUUGACCAUAUCCUAAAUAGAGUUACAUGAAGGUGUUGAGUUUUUUGUUCGGCGCUACAAUUACAUGUGACCUUCAGCCGGUACGAUCAAGCGAAGUAUCGGAUCGCCUGCGCAGCGGUUGCGAGAAUCUGAUCAAGUGCCCAAAAUAAGCCCGUGCUUCAAUGUCUUCAGGGGUUGUAAACACCCAUACGUGAGGACGGCACGAGCAUACUGCACUGGGAAGGACGACCGGACUUUCAGCACCAAGCGAAGCUUGAAACACUCUCACUUCGAAGCCUACCUAACGUCUGUCAGCGGUGUAAGUGUAUUCCCCGAUAGAAUAGUGCGGUCUGCAAAUACCCCACCAUUGCGCGGCUACAAGGAUACGGACAGAGUAAUGCGAACUGUGGUAGAAAGCUACUUCCUACGCCACUGCAUGACCCGCCCACGAUCUUUCACAUGUUCUUGUAGCUAGUUUUUUUUCUAUAUUAUUAAUUAUGGUCACGUUAUAUAUGCUCUAAUGACGUCGCGAUGGCCUCUCAAGCGUAAUCAAACGGACGCGACAUGAUUUCGAUGCCCGUGUGGUUUUAGC